CUUGGAUAACUGUGGUAAUUCUAGAGCUAAUACGUGCAACAAACCCCGACUUCUGGAAGGGAUGCAUUUAUUAGAUUAAAAGGCGAACNGGGUCUGCCCGUUGCUCUAUGAUUCAUGAUAACCGACGGAUCGCAUGGCCUAGUGCUGGCGACGCAUCAUUCAAAUGUCUGCCUUAUCAAC
rnacentral:rRNA from 1 species